UACGGAGGGGACUAGCGUUGUUCGGAAUUACUGGGCGUAAAGCGCACGUAGGCGGUUUGGCAAGUCGGACGUGAAAAUCCGGGGCUCAACCCCGGACCUGCAUCCGAAACUGCCCGACUAGAGGUAGGUAGGGGAGAUCGGAAUUCCUGGUGUAGCGGUGAAAUGCGCAGAUAUCAGGAGGAACACCGGUGGCGAAGGCGGAUCUCUGGGCCUUACCUGACGCUCAGGUGCGAAAGCUAGGGGAGCGAACAGG
rnacentral:rRNA from 1 species